AUGCACUACCUUUGAACCUGUGCUGUUUUCAUCUGUAACUGUGCAGGCCAACCAAUAGUGCGAAAUAAAUUGCUUGUUAUAACUGGGGAUUUUCAGCUCUCCCAACUGAAGAGCUCUUUUAAGAACAAGUCAUAUAC